rnacentral:rRNA from 1 species
ACAUGCAAGUCGAGGGGCAGCAUGAACUUAGCUUGCUAAGUUUGAUGGCGACCGGCGCACGGGUGAGUAACACGUAUCCAACCUGCCGAUGACUCGGGGAUAGCCUUUCGAAAGAAAGAUUAAUACCCGAUGGCAUAGUUCUUCCGCAUGGUAGAACUAUUAAAGAAUUUCGGUCAUCGAUGGGGAUGCGUUCCAUUAGGUUGUUGGCGGGGUAACGGCCCACCAAGCCUUCGAUGGAUAGGGGUUCUGAGAGGAAGGUCCCCCACAUUGGAACUGAGACACGGUCCAAACUCCUACGGGAGGCAGCAGUGAGGAAUAUUGGUCAAUGGACGAGAGUCUGAACCAGCCAAGUAGCGUGAAGGAUGACUGCCCUAUGGGUUGUAAACUUCUUUUAUACGGGAAUAAAGUGAGGCACGUGUGCCUUUUUGUAUGUACCGUAUGAAUAAGGAUCGGCUAACUCCGUGCCAGCAGCCGCGGUAAUACGGAGGAUCCGAGCGUUAUCCGGAUUUAUUGGGUUUAAAGGGAGCGUAGGCGGACGCUUAAGUCAGUUGUGAAAGUUUGCGGCUCAACCGUAAAAUUGCAGUUGAUACUGGGUGUCUUGAGUACAGUAGAGGCAGGCGGAAUUCGUGGUGUAGCGGUGAAAUGCUUAGAUAUCACGAAGAACUCCGAUUGCGAAGGCAGCUUGCUGGACUGUAACUGACGCUGAUGCUCGAAAGUGUGGGUAUCAAACAGGAUUAGAUACCCUGGUAGUCCACACAGUAAACGAUGAAUACUCGCUGUUUGCGAUAUACAGUAAGCGGCCAAGCGAAAGCGUUAAGUAUUCCACCUGGGGAGUACGCCGGCAACGGUGAAACUCAGAGGAAUUGACGGGGGCCCGCACAAGCGGAGGAACAUGUGGUUUAAUUCGAUGAUAC